rfam:Toxocara canis scaffold1211, whole genome shotgun sequence.
CCAGGGUGCGAUACCAAGUUGAAAACACGACAUCCCCUCCGAUCUGUCACGUUAAGCAACGUCCGGCCUGGUUAGUACUUGGAUCGGAGACGGCUUGGGAAUCCCAGGUGCUGUAAGCA